rnacentral:lncRNA from 1 species
AAGAGAUGCUCAACAUCCCUAACCACUAGGCUCAUCAGUGGAAGGGAUUUACCUUGUCUCAGAUGAGACUUUGGACUGUGGACUUUUGAGUUAAUGCUGAAAUGAGUUAAAAUGUGGGGGACUGUUGAGAAGGGAUGAUUGGAUUCUGCGGUGUGAGAAGGACAUGUGAUUUAGUAGAGGCCGCAGGCAGAAUGAUAUGCUUUGGAUUUGUGUCCCUGCUGAACUCUCAUGUCAAAUUGUAAUUCCCAGUACUGGAGGAGGGGCCUGCUGGUGGGAGGUGACAGCGUGCUGGCAGCCCUUGCAGCCCCAAAGCUCACUCUCGGUGCCUCCUCGGCCUCAGUGCCCAUUCUGGCCAUGCUUGAGGAGCCCUUCAGCCCACUGCUGCACCGUGGGAGCCCUUCUCUGGGCUGGCCAAGGCCAGAGCCGGCACCCUCGGCUUGCAGGGAGGUGUGGAGGGAGAGACACGGGCAGGAACUGGGGCUGCGCGCAGCACUUGCGGGCCAGCUGGAGUUCCGGGUGGGCGUGGGCUUGGCGGCCUCACACUCAGAGUGGCUGGCCGGCCCUGCUGGCCCAGGCAGUGAGGGGCUUAGCACCUGGGCAAGCAGCUGCCGAUGGUGCGCCGGCUCCCCCAGCAGUGCUGGCCCACAGCGCUGCGAUGGAUUUCUCACCAGGCCUUAGCUGCCUCCCCACAGGGCAGGGCUCGGGACCUG